ensembl:lncRNA
GGAGGGCGAGGAAGUGUGAGGCCCCCAAGGGUGUGAGAGGGAGGCCUUGGGGGGCUGAGUCGGUCCCUUGCCCGCCACAGUCAAGCGGUCCUCUGGAGUCAGACGGGGGGUGGGCGCCUGAGCUGCUUUCCCAGAGAUGGGAAUGCUUUGAAGCGGGGCUGGGCUCCAUCAGGGCCUCAGCGGCUUCCCAGGACGAGGACUCCUGGGUCUGAGCUGCCUCCAGCCGGGCGCAGCGAGGCAGCUGGAGCGAGUGGCCCGGCCUCCUGUCCCUGCUCUCGGGGGCAGUGUGCUGCCGCUCUUCUCGUGACGUGUUGAGUCCCGCCCGAGGAGAAGCACGGUGGUCCAGCGGGAGGGCCAGCUGCCAGAAGUGUGCGGAAGCCCCUGGGCUGGCAGGGCGGCGAGGGUCCUGGAGGUUACGAUGUGUGGCACAUGCAGUCAGGGCGUCAGCUCGGAGGCUCCGGGGCCAGUGCCCUUUCUCAGGGCGAGGUGGGUGGGUCUGAGGGUACUUCAUUCUGCUGCCCUGAAGGCUUCCUAACUGGAGCAGUUAGUUCUCAGCGUUCGGCGCAUCUCGAAUUUGCUUUGUGUUUUUGGGGAGCUUUUGAUCUCUGAUUCCCUUGUGGCAGAUGCGUGUAUCUUUUUCUUUCCUUGUUAAGAGUCAGUACGUCUCCGAGCUUCUUGUGCUUGGCUUAACCUUUCGGGGUCAGUCUGGCCAGGAGCAGAUGACCAGUGGCAGGGAGGUCCCUUCCCAUUGAAGGGCGUGUAUCCAACACCCUUCCUUGGGCCAGGCAAGUUAUUUCUCGCAUUGAAGUCUUGCCUCACCUGUUCCGCAGCAGGUACCUGGGACACCUGACUCUCCCCAGCCUCGUAGACACAGGAGUCGUUGCAUGACCUUUUAUCGUGUCGGCACCCAAAGCAGCAACGAGCCACACAUGCCAGCCACACACCGCCCUGGAGCCCACGCAGACCCUUGGUGUCUGGAGGUGCUGAUGGUGUGUGUUUGUACUCCUAGGUCUGAAAACCUCUCCUCAGGAGCUUUGAUUUCUCUUCUUAACACACUGCAGUGGUUUUAGGGGAAGGGGUUGUGCCUUUUCUCUCUCUCUCUUUUUUUUAAACUCCUUUUUUUGAGCGCAGGCAGCACGGUUGUGAGUGCAGGAGGAGGAGGUGUCAGCGCCUGCCGGAGCGACCCUGCUUCAGAAGCGGUGGACACCCUCGGUUAAGACAGUUCCGCCCUCUGCACCCUGGCUCCCACGUGUUUUCACACGAGGGCCAGGGGUCAGUGAGAGGUCGCGUUACGGUUGGCAAGCCCAGGUCCUGGGAGCCCAGGGAGAGAGCCCCGCUCCAUCCUCCCUGUGGCUCUCGGGGUCCGUGCUGGUGGAGCAGGAGGCGCAGGGUGGCCGUGCAGUGUGUCUCCUUCGCCCUGAGCGGUUCCCAGUGUUUCUCAGGCUGCGAGUUGGUUUCUGUCCUCGGUGCCCCCCCGGGGGAGCCCGCGUCUCCAGACGCGCCCGUACUGGGCUCUUCACCCCCGACAUCUUCUCCAGUGCCCCGUCCCCAGAGCCCACGCUAAACGUGCGUUUUUGAGGAAGAGCAGCCUGGUGUGGCGCCCCUGUGCCUGUGGUCGCCUCGCAGCCCCUCCCUGUCCCUCCUCCCUGCGCGCCUGCCUAGGCGAGCGUCCGGAUCUCAGCCGUCUUCUGGGUCAUCUCUCGGGUUUGUCUUUCCUUCGUCAGGUGCCAGGUCCCAGGGUGAGGUAUGGGCCCGAGGGUGAUGUGUGCCAGGCACCCCCCUGCUGCCGUCUCGCUGAGGCCCCGGCCUCGCCCAUUGUACAGACGAGGAAUGAGAAAACCGCAUUGGUAGCUGAGUCCACUUUUCUCGCUGAUGCGGUUUGGGCAGGAGAAGGUGUGGGCUCAGGUGCCGUGUGACCGGCGGAGGCUCUGGUCAGCGUGCAGCCGCUGCCACCCUGCCUCUGCUACCCUGGCUUCCGCGGGAUCAAGUCCCGUGUGCUCACUUGGUGGCUCACAGGCGCUUGGCCCCCGCCCUGGCGCAGCUGGGGCUGCACUGACUGGAUUCCGGUCUGGAUGGGCAGCAGCCAGACCCUCCCUGGGUGGGCAGAACCUGAUGGUGUCACCAUUGCUGGCUGUGGUGCUUAUUUUAAGUGAUUCGACGGGGUAGCCUGUUAGGUCUUGGGGGGGGCGGUGCCUGAGGACUGGAAGGCCAUGGACAGGGCGCUCACCCGCCUGGCGGUCUCUGCCCUGACGAUGCUCGGCAUCCUCACCUGUAUCCAGAAGGGACACACCUGGAGAAAAGCAAGCCUUCUCUUCCUUUUUUUUUUUUUUUUUGGCCAUACCUGGGGCACAUGGAAAUUCCUGGGCCAGGAAUGGAACCCUUGUCACUGCAGCGAUGUGAGCUGCUGCAGUGACCACACUGGGUCAUUAACCUGCUGAGCCACAGGGGAACUCCAGCUCUCGCCAGAACUUUUUCCAUCCGUGUUACAUGGCGCAGGGCACAGCUUGGCGUCUCCGGAUGGCACUGCCUUGUCCAUUUAGCUAUUGUUAUGCUUUGGGCCGAUUUCCUGAUUUUGGCUACUGAGAGGGCUGCUACUAUGAACGUUCUUGUACAGAUACUUUAAAAUUUUGUAAACUUGUUUUUGUGGUGAAAUAUUCUUAGUUAUCUUGUUGGCUUUUUCUGUGUGUGUGUCUCUUUUGUUUUCCAAGAGCCGCACGCACAGCAUAUGGAAGUUCCCGGGCUCGGGGAUGAAUUGCAUAUGCACCUGCGGGCCUGCACCACAGGUCACAGCAACGCCGGAUCCUUCACCCACUGGGUGAGGCUGGGGAUCAAACCCGCAUCCUCCCAGAUCCUGGUCAGGUUCGUUACCACUGCUCCACGAUGGGAGCUCCCUCUUGUUGGCCCUUUACAAGUGUAUGGCUCAUGGCAUGAGAAUGCACAAGUCCUCUCGUGGGGGUGUUUUUGGGAGUGGGUUGCUGCGCCCCGUGCGUGCGUGCGUGUCUGUUUCUCUUGCAGGUGGUGCCACGCCGGGGCCUGAAGUGCCCUGUCACUUUGAACCCCCACCAGCAGAGUGUAGAGGCCCGUGGCUCAUGUGUGGGCCAGCGUUGGGUGUUGUCAGCUUUUUCCUUUUGAUCAGCGUUAUUGAGGCCUAAUGUACGGGACCAGGCCCUUGUAUCCCUGUCAAGCCUGCAGUGGGCUGGCUCUUCACGGGGGUGCUGACAGGCCACCCAUCACCGUUCUCGCAGCCCGUCCCCUCGGGCCCACACCUGGCCGUUGCUGACCUGGCCGUCACAGGCUGGUUCGCAUUUCUGGAGUUUUUCUGUGAGCAGAGCCACAUGCGUGGACUCUUGCGUGGCUUCUGUCUUUCUCUGUGUCGCGUGGCAUUCGGCCAUGUCACCGUGGGCAGUUGGGGCCCGUGCAUCCUCCGGGAGCAUCGUCUCACGCGCUCAUCCGCCCGCUUGUGGGCUUUGGGAGCGUUUGCCGGGCCGCCCUGAGCGGUGCUGCUGCGGAAAGCCACCCGUGCGGGUGGACGGCCUGCACCCCGGGCUCUGUCGGGGCAGCAGCGAGGCCAGGUGGCUGGGCCGCAGGUGCCGUCUUCGUAGGUCCUGCCAGACGGUUUUCCAAAGCAGCCGGGCAGCGUCUGACCCAUCGGGAGGGUGCGAGGGCUCUGCACACACCACAGCCUGCUUCCCUUCUAGGUGUACUCAGGGCCCGACAGCCCUCCAUCCUGUGGGUCCCCUCCUGUUAAUGCCACUCCCAGCAACAGAGACUAAUGCCGGGAGACUCCCUGUGAUUACGUGUGCCCUUUCAUAUUCCUUCUCUGCGGUGCUGGGCCUGUCACCUUCCUGUGCUGCAGGUGUCCUGACCAGGCAGGGCCCUGUCUGUUCCCUGGCUUUUCGGGGUGACUGGCACACUCCACCUUGCCCCUUCCCCCACCUUCAAAGCCAGGUUGGGGCCUCCCUUUCCUUCAGUCUCUCCGAAUCCCCCGCUCUAAGGACUUUUUUGUUUUGUUUUGUUUUUUUAGGGUCGAACCUGAGGCAUAUGGAAGUUCCCAGGCUAGGGGUCGAAUCACAGCCACACCUGCUGGCCACAGCCACAGCCACAGCCACAUGGGAUCUGAGGCGCGUCUGCGACCUACACCACAGCAAUGCCGGAUCCUUAACCCAUUGAGUGAGGCCAGGGAUUGAACCCGCAUCCUCACGGAUCCUAGUCAGGUUCGUUAACUGCUGAGCCAUGAAGGGAACUCUCUCUAAGGGCUCUCGAUGACACUGGGCCCGGGGUGACCUCAACCCUCUCCUCUCUUGGGGCCCAUAACCCUGGUCCCGUCUGCAAAGCCCCUCUGCCCCAUAGGGACCGUGCUCCCAGGCUGCCCCCCACGGCCUAAGAGGAGGUUCUUUUUGUUGUUUGACCUUGGUAGAUUUCUGCGGGCCUGUCGGAGGCAUGCACGUUGCUGGGGUCUUACUGCCGAGGACUGAAUGAGUGUCCCCCCAGAUUCUCUGUCUGGUGGAUGAUGUUAGGAGGCGAGGGCUUCAGGGGUGAUCAGAUCACAAGGGAGGAUUAGUUCCUGUGUUGGUGCUUUUUUUCUUUCUGUGGCCACACCCACAAGAGUUCCACGGCCAGGGACUGAGUCUGAGCUGCAGCUGUGACCCAGGUUACUGCAUCGGAUUCUUAACCCCUUGCAUCGCAGCGGGAGCUCCUGGAUUACUGUCCUUGUAAAGGGGACCCCGGAGAACCCCCUUGCGCCCUGCGCCUGGCGAGGACACAGCGGGAAGCUGCCCACCAGCCACACGGUCUGCAGGUGGCCUUGGACACCCGCCUCCAGUGGGGUAGAAACAUCUGCUGUUUGUAAGUCCUGAUGUGUGGGAUUCUGUCUCAGCUGACCAAGUAAUGGCACAGACCAAGUGGCUUAAAACAUGCCCGCUCAUGAGUGCCCAGUGUCUGGGGGCCAGGAAUCCGGCACAGCUUGGCCAGGCCUCACUGGGCAUCCAUCUCUCACAGGCCGUGCCCAGAUGUGGGCUGGGGCGGACUGGCUUCCAAACUCGUGUGGCUGUGGGCAGCACCUGGCAGCCGUCCGUUCCUGGGCAGAGGCCUGUCCCUAGCGUGGCCUGCUUCAGGUCCCAGUGGAACAGUGCUGUGCAGCAUGGUCCCAUGGAGGGGACCUCGUCACUUGGUCUCAUUCCAAGGCCAGAAGCCAGUCUCAGCUCCCACCUCCCUCAGAGGAGGGCUGUGCCCGCGGUGGGAGUGCCAGGAGGCGGGAGGAGUUCCUGCCACACUGCCCGAGAGCCUUCUCUGCCCCCACGCACGCUCUGGUGUGAGGCGCGUGGCCUUGGCAGAGGCCUGGGCUGUGGUCUCCCCCUUGGGACGGGACAUGGGGGGGCAGGCCAGGUGUGUCUGGGAGGACCGCCGGGCCAGGGCUGCCUGCUCGGCUAGUGUGUGGAUCCCAGGCGCCUCGGCGUGUCUGCCUGUGUCCCCAGCAUCUUUUCUGUGUCUCUCUCUGGGAACUUGGGGAGGCCUGGUUUUCCCUCCUUAGGUGGGAACAGCCAGGAACAGCAGCUGCCCUCCUCGGGUGUGGGGGCAGCACCGUGACGCCAUGUGCUGGCAUCACGUGGGAAACGCAGGAGCUGGCUGGGGCCCGGGAGGUGAGCUGUGGCAGCUCCACUGGACGACCGGCCUCCUGGCUUUCGUCCAUAGUGGGCUGCACUGAAAAACAGAGGGUUGUCCGCUAGCUGUGAGGGCCCGCGCCUGGGUCCGGGCUGCCCGCGGUGUCCGGCCCCGUUGGGAACCGCCUUCCAGUUUCUGGUGCUGGAUUUCACACCGCACAGGAAGGUAUUGAUUAGUGUUUCCUUUUGCAUUCUUUUUUUUUCUUUUUUUUCUUUUUUUUUGGCUCCAUAACAUUCAGAGUUUCCAGGCGAGGAUUUAAAUCCUAGCUGCAGUUGGGACCUACCCCACAGCGACGGCAACACCAGAUCCUUUAAGCCACUGUGCCAGCUCAGGGAUUGAACCUGCGUCCUGGUGCUACAGGGUUGCUGCUGAUCCCAUUGUGCCAUAGCAGGAAUACCUCUCUUUCAUUCUUUUUUUUUGCCCUGUUACAGCCGUACCUGCAGCGUAUGGAAGUUCCGAGGCUAGGGGUCCAAUGGGACCUGUAGCUGCCAGCCUACGCCACAGCCACAGCACCGCCAAAUCGGAGCCUCAUCUGCGACCUGCACUGCAGCUUGCAUCAAUGCUGGAUCCUUAACCCACUGAGCAAGGCUAGGGAUUGAACCUGCAUCCUCAUGGAUGCUACUCAGGUUCUUAACCCACUGAGCCACAGUGGGAACUCCUCUCUCAUUCUUAACCCAUUUUUUUAUUACUCAGAUUUUGUUCAUUGUUCUUGAAUUUCUAACAAGUUGUCCUGUGGGUCUUGUUGAACGGUUAUGCUUUUACUGUCGCCGUUUCCCCCAGAACACCUGAACCUUGCACAGAACGGAGUUGGGGGCAUGUGGUGGGUGGUCCCUGCAGGUGGGUCCGAGCUGAGCCUGGGCAGGUGUGUGGGAGAGGCCCGGCAGCCUCCCCAGAUGCCUGGGACGUGGGCAGUGAUCAAGAUGGCACUUGAAUGCCACAGGAGCGGCCCAAGAAAUGGCAAAAAGACAAAAAAUUAAAAAUUUUAAAAAAAAAGAUGACACUUGAAGGGCCUCUGUUGUUAGGUCCCUCCCUGCUGCCCUCCCCUGGCUGAGCCUGUGUCCUGGAGCACCUCUUAGAAGGAGGCAGAGGCAGCAGCCAGCAGCAGGGCUUCCUGCCCUGCUUCCCAAGCUGGCCAGGAGGAGCAAGGCGGGCGAUGCUAGCCACUGUGCCUGGAAGCUGGCAGGCCCUUCUGGACAGUGCUUGGCAGCACCCCUUGCAGUCCUGGAGAGGAAAAGCCUCAAACACACAUGCAGGAGCCACGAAGCCGCAACGUAAAGGCGGAAGAAAGGCAAUUGGUCCGUGUUGGCGGGUUGUCUGUAGUUCAUUGAGUCCCCGCUUGGGAACACCUCUGCUGGGUGCUGAGAAGUGACAGUGAAAAUGGAUCUGGUGUGGGUGUUGCUGUGGGUGACAUCGUUUUUUUAAAAGGGUGACCACUUCGGGAAAAUCCAAACAAGCAAGACACAGUCUCCCGUGAUUCCCAAGGUGGGAGCAUCCCUGCAGAUCUCGGCGUCAGGGCGGCACACCCGGCCGGCGUGGCACGGUGGGCAUUGGUGCCCAGGUGCUCUGGGGACCCGCUGCAGCCCUGGCCGUGCAGGGCCGGCCAGCUGGGUGCCUGGCAGGUAGCAGAAAGGGAAAAAGCCCCUUGUGUCAGGUGAAUUGCUCUCCCUUCAGACCCCCCCUCCCCCAACCGGUAGGACCCUCUCCUUCAGACCUCACGAGCCCCUCGGGCGAGUGCAGCGCGGGGAGCCAGAGCCUGGGCUGGGAGGGACCGGCAGGGACACGGGGGUCCACUCUGGCCUCCUGAGCCCCGGGUCCGCCUGGGGGCUGUCCGCAGUCCUAGGGCCUCAGGCUGGGCCGUGCGGGGACCCCUCCUUGCGUGGAGCGGCUCCCGCCCCUGCGCUGGGCUGCCGAGCCAGAGAGCUGCCGUGUGCGUCCGCGGUCCUGCCUGUGCGGCCACAGGGUCCACCGUGCCAGCGACACCUCUGGUCAUCGCUCUGGCCAAGAGCCUGGGAUUUUGAGGGCGGGUCAUCGAAGUGCUGCAGCAACAGAUCUUGAGAGCCCAGAGCCGCAGCGCUGGCUCGGUGGCCCCGGCCGGCUGGCGCCGUCCUCGCCACCGCAGGUGCUGCCUCUGUCCAGCCGCCUGUCUUUGGAUGUGGCAUGUCUGUGUUUUCCGUGAAUUGAGGAGGCACCCUGUACAUCUUCACCAGAUCCUGGAGGUGGGCGGGCACUGAACAUAGGUGUGCAAAUA